rnacentral:lncRNA from 1 species
UUCCCACUUGAUGCUGAUGUGGGAGUGGGUGGUGACUGUGAAGGCAACAUCCACGUGGUAUUAUACCGUAUAAUAUACUAGCGAGAGGUUCCGGUGUGCCUUCUGCAGGGACACAGAGUAGCGGGUGUCUCUGUGUGGGGCACUUACCUCGAACAGGUCAAGGGUUGGGAGGGUGUGGCCUGGGCUUGUCACGUCUGAAGGCAGAUGGUGCAAUGGUCAGCCCAACCCGAGCUGACCUCUUUGCUUCCAGUGCUCCGAGAGGCCCCAGAGAGAGGCUCCUGGAGGCAGGGAGAGGGAAACAAGGCAGGGCGCCCCGGAGAGGGGCGCCUCUGCGGUCUCCCCAGUGGAACACUCCUUUUGCGGGUCAUGGCUUAAGGCAUUCCUCUGAGGUGGCCUGUCUUUCAGCUUCCUCUGCCUUCUGAGCCCCCACGGGCGCAAAGGCUGGAGGCUGGAGGAUAGGCGGGUGGGCGGCAAGAGGCAGACGCAGGGCCCCCUGCUUAGGAACCUGCUCUGGAAGCACCAAUGUCAGGGACCACGUCUGCUGCAAACUGACGGAUCAACCGACUGGCAGGUGGGAGACUGAGCUUCGCCUUCAUGGAUGGCCUGCUUUGUCCCGAGUGUGUUUCCGAACCUAAGAGACAACUCCAGAGUGCAAAUCAAGGUACAGAGGAACUCGACAGGGAGGGAGUAUCCUCGUUUACAUCGCGGACACGUCUAUUGUGCAAUUCGAGUAUGGCGUUUUUUGAAAAUUUUUUUUGCAAAUUUACUUUGACAUCUGAGGUGAAAAAAAUGUUUCUUUUGUUGUUCUUGACGUCAUAAAAUUUUCUCUUCUUUCUUAUUGCAGAUGGAAAAGACACGGAAUCACGAGAAGAGGCGAGAGCAUCCGCUCAAGGACGUCGGAAGAGAGGAGGGUCCUCAGGCUGGGGGCCAGGAGGACAGAUGGCGGAGGCCACUGAGCUCACGGGAGAGACUUCUGGAGGCUGGGCUCCUGAGGGAACCCGCACCAGCGACCAGGCGGCCCCGCGGAGGGAGCGCUCGCAGGGAGCGGAUCGGACUGAGGGCCUGGCUGCGGGCGUCUUCGCGGGCUCCGUCUCCCCCACUGCAGCGUGGAGCGGGGACACUGGCUCUGCGGCGCGAGCUGCCUCCAACGCGCGCUGCGCAGGAAGCCGCCUGGCGGCCGCUCCCGGACAGCACGUACGCGUGUGGCAGUGCCGCGCCGGCUCUCGGAGCGUGGAAACGCCGUGUCCCAGGCCCGCCUGCUGCCGCGGAGGGCCUGUCGCUUGUCAGUGUGUUGGAACUACUCUACUGGAGUCCUGGACUUUCACAAAGGCUCUCUCGGCUGUUGGUGAUUGUCAAAUUUCACGUUCUCCAGGGAUUCCCAGACCACGUUGACAGGGCCUGAAACCAGUUCAUGGGUCACUGCAGGGUUGACAGCCAGGACCAAGUCUGCAGUUUCUCAGGAGUCCCACCGGGAAUGUCAGUUGCCCCCUCUGCUCCAAUGGGGCCUGUGCCUGUUCCAGGAUGUGGAUUACUCUCCCUUUGCCUGCUUACCAGUUUCAAAAAUAUUGAAGGCUCUCAAAUGCAGAUGUUUACUCUCUCUCUCU